rnacentral:rRNA from 1 species
AGAGUUUGAUCCUGGCUCAGGAUGAACGCUGGCGGCGUGCUUAACACAUGCAAGUCGAACGGUCUCUUCGGAGAUAGUGGCGGACGGGUGAGUAACGCGUGAGGAUCUGCCCUUAGAUGGGGGAUAACAGUUGGAAACGACUGCUAAUACCGCAUGAGCCGAGAGGUAAAAGAUUUAUUGUCUAAGGAUGAACUCGCGUCUGAUUAGCUAGUUGGUGAGGUAAGGGCUCACCAAGGCGACGAUCAGUAGCUNGUCUGAGAGGAUNAUCAGCCACACUGGGACUGAGACACGGCCCAGACUCNUACGGGAGGCACGCAGUGGGGAAUAUUGGACAAUGGGCGAAACGCCUGAUCCAGCAAUGCCGCGUGAGUGAAGAAGGCCUUCGGGUUGUAAAGCUUUUCUGCCCGG